UGUGGCUAGCUCAGUUGGUAGAGCAAUUAACUAUCGAAGAUCCCGGGUUCGAUUCCCGGUCCUAUUA
rnacentral:tRNA from 1 species